rnacentral:rRNA from 1 species
UACGGGGGGGGCAAGCGUUGUUCGGAAUUACUGGGCGUAAAGGGUUCGUAGGUGGCCGACUAAGUCAGACGUGAAAGCCCUCAGCUCAACUGAGGAAGUGCGCCCGAAACUGCAGAGCUUGAGUGCCGGAGAGGGUGGCGGAAUUCCACAAGUAGAGGUGAAAUUCGUAGAUAUGGGGAGGAACACCGGUGGCGAAGGCGGCCACCUGGACGGUAACUGACGCUGAGACGCGAAAGCGUGGGGAGCAAACAGG